rnacentral:rRNA from 1 species
UACGUAGGGUGCGAGCGUUGUCCGGAAUUACUGGGCGUAAAGAGCUCGUAGGUGGUUUGUCGCGUUGUUCGUGAAAACCGGGGGCUUAACCCUCGGCGUGCGGGCGAUACGGGCAGACUUGAGUACUGCAGGGGAGACUGGAAUUCCUGGUGUAGCGGUGGAAUGCGCAGAUAUCAGGAGGAACACCGGUGGCGAAGGCGGGUCUCUGGGCAGUAACUGACGCUGAGGCGCGAAAGCGUGGGGAGCAAACAGG